GCGACCGUGGUGUAGUGGUUAGCAUUAUUGCCUUCCAUUCAUCGUCAAUGUUAGCAAUAGAGUCGGGUUCGAUUCCCGACGGUCGCA